GAGAAGGGGCUAAAAGUUGGAACGAGGAAGAAGGCUCGGAGAAAGGUGUCAGACAAAGCGGGAUUAGCAAGAAGCUGUUAGGGCUGGUCCUACCGGGAUGAGAGAAAGGCGCAGAGGCCAGCCGAGUGGAAAGAGCAGCGGUGACGAACCGGGUUCCACUCAGACGUCCGACACUUCUCGCCAAGGGGCCAGCGCGGACAGCAGCGCCUCCCGGGGACCUCUGAGAAGCCCUGUUUCUGCGCGGCUCCGCCCGACCUCCAAGGCCGACCUCGGAGGCUCAGAGACCCAGGCCCCGUUGGCACUCACCCCACUGCCACGCGGCGCCAGCGCCGGACUGGCCGCACGAUAAGCGCGUCCCAGGCUGCCGCCAACCGGCCCUCGGGGGAGACGGGUCCCGGGGGCGCAGGCGCGGGCCCCAGACACAGCGAGCUCCAGAGAGAGCGCAGCGCCGAGCCUGGCAGCUCUGGCUCCAGCAGGAAGACGCAGCCCACGGCCAGCGCCAGGAAGCCCGCGUACGCGGAGCCGCGCCACAGCGCCAUGGGGACCCAGGCGCCGCACCUGCGCGAACCAACUCCUUUCCUAGCCCGCGCCUCUUCCGGGCUCGGCGCGCGCCGAUGUCGACACAAGCGCUACGUCACAAGGGUGCGCCACGGGGCCCCCCAAGGGGCGGGGCGACGGGCGGCGCCAGGACGGAGCGAGGGGGGACCCCACGCCUCAGUCCCAGGCCUGGCACUGCGGUGUUGCCGCCCCGGAGGAGGUGGGACAACGGCGGUUGUGCCAGUCCGGGCGCUGCACCCCCUUCCCGGAACUCUAAUCGUAUCCCCAAAUAGAGGGAUGGGAACACAUUUGCUUUCGCAGUAAAACGAAACGGACAGAUUGUGAAGAAGCGGACAAACCUCGCGUUAAUAUUCGAACCAGUGGGUGUCCCCAUUGGCACGGAUCACACCCCCAUCUUUUAAUCCCUCCCUCCGCCCGUGUCCCCUCAUUUGCUAGACUUGUCCUCUUCCAGGCCUAGUGCUCGGCGCUUCUGAGAGGAAUAGGCUCACAGAAUAGCGGCGCUGCCGAGACCCCUGGGGUACGCGAGGCAGGGGGAUUCCGCCCCUUUGGAAGGUGGCCGAGACCCUCAGCCACUAAAGGACUUCGUCGAGACAGGAGAGCCCGCAGAGAUCGUUCUCUUCUGGAUAACCAGAUUAUUCCACAAUCAAACUUUAACCCUUUUGGGGGCGCUGUUCCCUUUAACAAACUCUGGAAAAUGUACACAAUCUUGUGCACAACACGAGAGUUAUGGACCUGGGUUGAGAAACGCUGCUUUCUUUUGUUCCCCCUUGGUGACAUCACUUAAACCCAGCCCUCUCUUCGCUGAUACUUUUCUGUGCAUGAGGCUAGGUUGAGAGACAGUGAAGCUAGGCUGGGUACCAGCUCAUUCUCAUCAGCCACAAUGCCCGGCCUAGUCUUGUUCCCUGGUUUGUUUCCACUUUUCCAAUUCUCUCGGCUCCUGACCUUGGCUUUGUGUCCAGUUUUCCACUGUGACCCUGACCUUUGGACUUGGCAGCGAAACUUUAUUUCCCUAACUUUGAUCUUGGGCAUUAGUCUUCAUUCUCCUCAGCCCCACCUCAUCAGAACUUCCCCAUCCUGGUCAUCUACCUUCCCGCAGUUCAUCCUACCCAGCCUACCUGACCAUGCCAUCCCUUUCGACAAAGAUAUUCACACAGGAACAGAUUUGGGCUACCUUGGAAAAGAAGCCAAAGAGCCAGUCAGAUCUUUAUGAAGCCAUGAAAGCCAUCUUCCCUAGAGUUGCCUGUCACUUCUCUCUCCUUAGGGAGACAUGUCAGUCAGUUCCUAGAGAAACUGCUUCUUCUCACAACCCUCAGCUGUCAGGUUUCCCUGGCACCCAGAGGGGACUGAGCCAGCAGCUGACCUGAAAACAGCGAGUCUGCUGACUGUCCAGCGAUCAUUUCCCUCUAUUGAGAAUUUUAACCAAGUUUCUGUUGUCUGUAGUUAUUUGAUAUUGGCUGUGGACCCACAAAGUCACACAAGGCUAAAGGUCAGAACCAGUUAAAUAUGUUUCCAAGGUGAAGUUUUGGGGAGCACAGGAAGCUGAACUGUGGGAAGGUGAUAGAACAGACAGAUCUAGAGGACUAGGAGAGUGCUCCACAUUAAAGUGAUGUGGACAGAAACCUGCCUGGGGCUUUCUUGCUCCCACGAGAGGCUGCUAAACUUCCAGCACUUUGCACCUAAUUCUUCUGCUUCUUUCUAGAUUUGCCAGAAUUGUUGAUUUAGUCACAGAGACAAAACAACAGCAGUUGAACAAAGUGGAUGUUUAUUUCUCAUGUAAAAGUCUAAAUGGGGUGUUGGCAUGUUGUGGGCUGUGGUAGCAAGCUUGGCCCCCUCUGGUUGCUAUGGGACCUGCUGUGGGCCUCUUGCUGGUUAGUCACUCAGUGUGGGUUUGCAUUGUGGGUGGUGAAGGGGGCCAGACAAGGAAACGAGAGAGCUGACCUCAAUUCCAACUGAGAACUGAAGAGUCAGGAGCCGCAGGAGGUGAAGAACAGAACACCAGGGACAGUUGCCAGGCCUGGCGGAGCCUGAUGUGGCUUCUGGUCACAUACAGAGUCACAGGGCCCUUAAUUCCUUCUCAUCGGGGCUCAGGGGCAGGCAUUCACUGUCUUGGUGCCACAGUCCCUCUUGAAAUAUUUCCUUAACGAAAAUCAGAAAAGAUUCUGAUCAUCUAUCUGUUCAGAGAGUCUGGAAUCCUUUGCAAGCCAAUUGUUUUUCUAGAAGUUAGGUUUCUGGGGACAAUUAAAACAGCUCUGAGUGGGCAGCUGUGGCUCCUUUGCCUAGGCUGAACAAAGAGGAAAGGGCUGGGCUGGGCAGGCCUCAAGACACCCCCCGCCCCCACCCAAAUUGCUUCCAGACAUGGCCUUUCCUAUUGGUUCUCUCUCCUAGGACCUUGAAAUGAGAGAAGAAAAGCAAUUUGGUUCUAGAAAAUUCAGAGGCAAAUGGAGGCUCCAGGUGCCCCACCCAAGAUCCUGACCUGGAAGGCCAGGGAGCAGAUCCUGUAUGAACACAAAGAAUUAGCAGAAUCCUGUCAGCUUCCAAAUUAGCUGAAGGUUUUGGCUUUAACAUAAAUACCCAUCAGCGUCACCCCCGCAAUCU
rnacentral:lncRNA from 1 species